UUCUGACAAGUCAGAAGACACACCUGCAACGUUCCGGGCUGAAGCAGAAAGAACAACCUCUAGAAAUACAAGAUGGGAAAGCUCCGAGAACGUUCCACAGCACAGAAAGAAGAUUCCCUGAAGAAGCAGCAACUGUUUUUGAGAUAUCAGUCCACUCGGAUUAGAUCUUUUUGCAUGGAUCUGAAAGCUAAUGAAUCUUUGAGGAAGCUUCAGUCAGCAUUAUCCCUCUGUAUUGCAAACGACGUAUUGGAUCUUCAAGCUGUUGUGGAAAUGGCUCCAUUGUUAUCUUCCCUCCAUCGUAUGAGAUACGAAGUGCUGUUCUUUCACUGUCUUAAGAUGUUCAGGAACAUUUUCACAUUUUGGAACAGUUGCUCCCACCUGUUCAGAAAGGAAUGUUGAAUAAUACUGUCAGCAGAUCAACUAUGUUAAUACUUGGGAUGUUCUGAAGACUUGAUACACAGUCCUUCCAGUGGCACAUAAGACAACUGACGACAGCAGCAGCACAGUUGGGCAUGAAGGUUUUAUGCCUAUGUCUGUUCAGAAAUGCCCUUUCAGUUAUGUACUCCCAUAAACUGAAUCAGCAUAUAAAUCUGCACGCUAUGCAAUAGAUGUAUAUGUAGCGGAGGCGCUGGGAUCCAACUCAGGAUAAUGGUGAGUCGAAUUCAGUCACGUCAGAUGUUGGACUUGGGAAAGCGCCUAUUAAGGACGGCAGUGCCAGCUGGGGAAGGUCUUGCAUCUGGCUAUGUGCUCCUGUCACCAAAGCCACUCCUAAGGCUGCACCAGGGCAGCAGUUUGCAGGGUGAUUGAAUGAACCACAUAUAGCACUGGGGAGAAAUGGAAAUCUUUUUUAAGGUCACCAGUAAUAUCACAGAGACAACACCCAGGCUGUGUGAAGACUCAUGAUUUCUGAUGAUGAUAAUAUCCCAAUGGUGGUCGGAAACAUCUAUUUGGUGUGGAUGAUGAUAACUUAUGUUCUACUGGGUGAUGUUGUAAAUGGGGAAGCUGGAGCAUUCCUGAAAGGCAAAACCUGAAAUGGGGAAUGAAAACAAUCUCUUCUAAUGGCAAAUAUAGCGAGUGGGAUGGAGAAAGGAAAUAAAUACUCAACCUGUUCCUGGAAUUGUUUUCAGAUUUUCAUCGUUUUGCGCUUAAUCUUAACUGACGAAGUGAUUUGCCCAUCAGGGUCUGUGGUGACAAGACAAGGGGAAAUGGUUUCAGACUUAACGAGGGUAGAUUUUGGCUGGAUAUGAGGAAGAAGUCGUUUGCAGUGAGGGUGGUGAGGCUAUGGAACAGAUUACCUGGAGAGUGGUGGAUGCCCCAUCCCUGGAGACACCCCAAGGUCAGGCUGGAUCAGGCUCUGAGCUCCUGAUGGAGAUGUAGGUGUUCCUGUUCAUUGCAGGGGAGCUGGACCAGAUGACCUUUAAAGGUCCUUCCCAACUCUAAGGAUUCUGUGAUUCUAUUUGCAGAUACUUUUGAUCCGAUACUUUUGAUACUUUUGGACCUGAAUCCGAUUUUUUUUGUGUGUUUGAAACACUUGGUCUAGGCAUUAUAGGCAUUAGGGGCAUUGCUGCUAGUACAGCUGAGGCAGGUGGAUUGCUGUGCUGAUGUUGUAUAUGUUACAUCGGCAUCCUCCCAGGGAACAGUGAAAGGCAGCAUUUUGCACUCUGACACAUGGAGUUAGGUGACAUGAGCGCUGUGUUCAGAGCUGUGCUUCUGGUGUAGACUGCAUUCAGAGAGAUUACAGAUAUAAAAAACCAGGGCUGCUGGCAGUCUCCUGCAGGAAUCUGAUACACGCUGAACUCCCAUACACACGGAGCAGUGCUCUUGGAGUAGCCGCUGUUGUAACAGGCUGACAGCUGUCUCUGCAUGAGAGUUAAUGCACAAUACUUGUUACUCUUAUCGUCGUGCUUUAUUAAUGGGGUGAUUGAAGUCAGGGGGUCCUUGAUGAGGCAGUACCUGCAGAAAGGUAGCAAAUGUCAAGGUUUUUUAGCAAGCUUUUAGCAACGGAAGUGUUAAUUUCACUUGAGUGUUUUGCAGAGCUGUCUAGGUGCAUUAUGGCUAAUUUGCAGCUAUCUCUUCUCUUGUGCUUAUUUUAAAGCUCUUAAGAGACUGGGCUUUAUAUCAGUAUUUGCAAUUGACAGCUUGUGAAGUUGAAGAGGAGUAUGAGUUGCUGUUUAGGUUAAAUAGGAAGCAUUAUUUAUAAAUAGGAAGGAAGAAAACUGACAGCUAACACAGCACGAAGAAGCCCGAGAAAGGUAAUUUUAAUACAGUAUCAUUAGACUAACCCAUUCCUACAGAAUAAAAUAUUGCAGGAAAAGCUUGUCAGGAGGUGCUGCUUUUCCUGUAGAAGCAGCAGGCUUUGAAAUUCCACAGCUGGAGAUACAAUGCUCCCUCUUAGAAUCUGAACUAUUAAAAUGCAACCCAGGGUAGGACUUACAUCCCUUGGUUUAGGCUGCCUUGUGCCAACAUGUAGUUAUAAGCCAGAGGCGUGCUUUUGCCCUGUGUCAAAGUGAGUGGAGCCUCUUUGCUCACAACCAAUCAGUGCUCAAAAGAGAAAUAACUCUAAUUGGGAAAAUGGACAACAGGAAUGGAUUUUUCCUUCUGCCCACAUAACAAAAUACUUAUUGUCAGAUCUCAAAGUGAUAGCUGCAUUAGGAAUGUCUGUACGGAGAGCUAAAAUAAAGGUAUUGAUCUGCGGCUCAUAACAAACCCUCUUAACCAUGCAACAUCUAUUCAAUUAACAGAGAGUAUAGUAUUUUAAGCUCACCAAAAUUUGAAUUAGAUCAGACAUUCAGUACACAUCUUUUUAAUUGGUUUUCUUGAUUUAUGAUCUAGGUAUAGAAUCUUGAGUUCCAUUUCAUCGUUUAAUAAUGAGAGCUGUCCUAAAACACUGCCAUUAAAUUAACUUCUAGGCCCUUACUAAAACUUGUCUGAUAUAGGCAUUGCUUUAUAACGGUGUGAGACAUUGAUUAAAUGUUAUUACAGCAAAAAGUUUCGUUAGCUGUAAUUGCAAGCUUUUCUUCUUGUAUUGGAUAGUCCUAUGCUGCUGUUAACUUACUUCAGUGUUAAAGGCAUGUACAGUUUUUUAGCGAAGAGUCUUCAGUAGUUUUGUGAUGAUAUUGAGAUUUCAUAAACAACUUGAUUGAUCGAUCCUCCCUGUUUGACAUCUGCAGUUUCCUGCUAUCCAGCCUUGAUACCGGGCUGGCAGCAAACCGGGGAUAGUUUGAGUAUAGUCACUACUAAAAGUAUUCAUGUUUGUUGCUUCUUUGCUACAUUUGCACCCUUAAUCUUUAUGCAUACAUGCCACAAUUAUGAAUUUUGAUUCCAAAAGAUCCCAGUUUAUUUAUUUAUUUUUACAG
ensembl:lncRNA